UGGGAAAUAUUGCACAAUGGGCGCAAGCCUGAUGCAGCCAUGCCGCGUGUAUGAAGAAGGCCUUCGGGUUGUAAAGUACUUUCAGCGGGGAGGAAGGGAGUAAAGUUAAUACCUUUGCUCAUUGACGUUACCCGCAGAAGAAGCACCGGCUAACUCCGUGCCAGCAGCCGCGGUAAUACGGAGGGUGCAAGCGUUAAUCGGAAUUACUGGGCGUAAAGCGCACGCAGGCGGUUUGUUAAGUCAGAUGUGAAAUCCCCGGGCUCAACCUGGGAACUGCAUCUGAUACUGGCAAGCUUGAGUCUCGUAGAGGGGGGUAGAAUUCCAGGUGUAGCGGUGAAAUGCGUAGAGAUCUGGAGGAAUACCGGUGGCGAAGGCGGCCCCCUGGACGAAGACUGACGCUCAGGUGCGAAAGCGUGGGGAGCAAACA
rnacentral:rRNA from 1 species